UACGUAGGUGACAAGCGUUGUCCGGAUUUACUGGGCGUAAAGGGCGCGUAGGCGGCGCAACAAGUCACUUGUGAAAUCUCCGGGCUUAACCCGGAGCGGCCAAGUGAUACUGUCGUGCUAGAGUGCGGAAGGGGCUACUGGAAUUCUCGGUGUAGCGGUGAAAUGCGUAGAUAUCGAGAGGAACACCUGCGGCGAAGGCGGGUAGCUGGGCCGACACUGACGCUGAGGCGCGAAAGCCAGGGGAGCGAACGGG
rnacentral:rRNA from 1 species